rnacentral:rRNA from 1 species
UACAGAGGAUGCAAGCGUUACUCGGAAUUACUGGGCGUAAAGCGUGCGCAGGCGGCUAUGCAAGACAGAUGUGAAAUCCCCGGGCUCAACCUGGGAACUGCAUUUGCGACUGCAUGGCUAGAGUACGGUAGAGGGGGAUGGAAUUCCGCGUGUAGCAGUGAAAUGCGUAGAUAUGCGGAGGAACACCGAUGGCGAAGGCAAUCCCCUGGACCUGUACUGACGCUCAUGCACGAAAGCGUGGGGAGCAAACAGG